rnacentral:lncRNA from 1 species
AAUCAUGUUCUUUAAGGAUAGUUUUCGCCAUGCUUGGAGAAGAAACUACUACUGUGGUCACCUGGCCAAGUCUUAGACUCAUUAUGGGGCCAUGAAUCUUCGCCAGCUUGGCCAGUGACUUGUGAGGUUUACCACCCAGUUCCAGGAGGUUUCCGAUCACCGGAUAAGGCCUCGGUCCUGGUGGAAGCCCUGCUGUACGGCCAAGGCGGAUGUACGGUACAGCAGUGUUGACUGUUGGCUAGGAUACUAGUAAGAUUGACAACCUGAAGAGAGAGCUUAACAAAUCUUUUACAAUGAAGGACUUGGGAUCGGCAAAAUAGAUUCUUGGCAUGAAGAUUUCCCAUGAUAGAAAAUUUAGGAAAGCAUAUGUUAAAAUAAUUCUUGAAAAUUUUAACUUAGGCAGGGCAAAAUCUGUUUGUUCUCCACUUACAGGUCAUUUCAAGCUUAGUUAUAAGCAUUGUCUUACAAGUAAGAAAGAUAAGAAAGAGAUGAAAAUAGUUCUUUUUGCUUCAGCAGUUGGUAGUUUGAUGUAUGCCAUCUGCUGUACGGCCAAGGCGGAUGUACGGUACAGCAGGGAGCAUAAAAGGAAAAAUGUCACUGUUCACAUGUAUGGUAUUGUCCAUAUUGCUGUUCAUGACACUGAUCACAUAUACGGAUAGGGUUUUAAGGGUAAUUUGGCACAUCUUGUGGAGGUGUUUUAGCUUGUUUGGGUUGGAUAGCUGUCCACUAGGGAUAGUAUGUACUUGGCAACAUAUCAUCAACUCUGAUUGGCCGAUUUUAAAUGAACCAAUUGGGUUGAGAAGUACUUGAUUUCACUAGAGAUUGUGCAGGUGACUUUGUCUGUGAUCCCCUUUCCUCAAUUUUGACUUUGAUAGCUUGUAAGGAGAUAUUUUAGAGACAAUCGAGGUGAAGACUUUGUUGUGAUGAUGUGUCCUGUUACCGUUGGCAAGGCUAUCAUUGUUUUGUGGUCUCGUAUUAACACGUGGCGGGUUACACUAUAGGAGGCAUUGUUUGUUAUCCUCGGAUUAUUUGGGUGGCUGAUGCUAGUUCUUUGAGAUCUUCCAAUUUCAUCCUCCCUUUUUAGCUUCCUAUUUAUCCUUUGUCACAAUCCCGAGUCCUAUUCAAUACCUCUAGUCUACAUUUUACCACCAAUAAUAAAUGUUUUUUAGCUUUUAAAGUUGAAAAAACAAACCACUUAAUACUUAUGUUUAGAGAUUCAUAAAAAUAUAUAUAUUAGAACGCUAAGAUUAUUAUAUAUUCACUUGAACGUGGUUUUGCUUAUAUACGGUAAAAUGUUAUGAUAUUUAUGUCCUUUGAAAUAUACAUAUAUAAAGGAUGCAAAAGUAAAAGUACAUGUGUUAGUCUGAUUUUGGUUCAGCUCAAAGCACUAUGAGAACUUCUCUGCAGAGGGUUGUUUUCUGGUAAAGAUGCAUAUUGGGAUAUAUAGAGACGAUUUUCUAAGGAUGGUGAUAGCUAAGACAAACAUGAAAUCACAAGAAACAGACGUUAGAGGCAGCGCGAUGGCUAGAGACGGCAUUCCAACCGUCAAUAUAGUAUAAGGUUGAAGAAGAUGAUGGAUUUUCCAAAAACCCUACGAGAAAAUUAAGUGUUUUGUGAAUUAGUGAACUUACUUCUUUUUUGAUUAACUUGAUUUUUUUAAAAGUAUAUUGCCCUUGAGGGCAUCUUUAUCUCCUUUUGAACAUGUGGCGAGCCGUUAUUAGUGACUUCCCUUCUCAGGUAGGGUUUUAAGGGUAAUUUGGCACAUCUUGUGGAGGUGUUUUAGCUUGUUUGGGUUGGAUAGCUGUCCACUAGGGAUAGUAUGUACUUGGCAACAUAUCAUCAACUCUGAUUGGCCGAUUUUAAAUGAACCAAUUGGGUUGAGAAGUACUUGAUUUCACUAGAGAUUGUGCAGGUGACUUUGUCUGUGAUCCCCUUUCCUCAAUUUUGACUUUGAUAGCUUGUAAGGAGAUAUUUUAGAGACAAUCGAGGUGAAGACUUUGUUGUGAUGAUGUGUCCUGUUACCGUUGGCAAGGCUAUCAUUGUUUUGUGGUCUCGUAUUAACACGUGGCGGGUUACACUAUAGGAGGCAUUGUUUGUUAUCCUCGGAUUAUUUGGGUGGCUGAUGCUAGUUCUUUGAGAUCUUCCAAUUUCAUCCUCCCUUUUUAGCUUCCUAUUUAUCCUUUGUCACAAUCCCGAGUCCUAUUCAAUACCUCUAGUCUACAUUUUACCACCAAUAAUAAAUGUUUUUUAGCUUUUAAAGUUGAAAAAACAAACCACUUAAUACUUAUGUUUAGAGAUUCAUAAAAAUAUAUAUAUUAGAACGCUAAGAUUAUUAUAUAUUCACUUGAACGUGGUUUUGCUUAUAUACGGUAAAAUGUUAUGAUAUUUAUGUCCUUUGAAAUAUACAUAUAUAAAGGAUGCAAAAGUAAAAGUACAUGUGUUAGUCUGAUUUUGGUUCAGCUCAAAGCACUAUGAGAACUUCUCUGCAGAGGGUUGUUUUCUGGUAAAGAUGCAUAUUGGGAUAUAUAGAGACGAUUUUCUAAGGAUGGUGAUAGCUAAGACAAACAUGAAAUCACAAGAAACAGACGUUAGAGGCAGCGCGAUGGCUAGAGACGGCAUUCCAACCGUCAAUAUAGUAUAAGGUUGAAGAAGAUGAUGGAUUUUCCAAAAACCCUACGAGAAAAUUAAGUGUUUUGUGAAUUAGUGAACUUACUUCUUUUUUGAUUAACUUGAUUUUUUUAAAAGUAUAUUGCCCUUGAGGGCAUCUUUAUCUCCUUUUGAACAUGUGGCGAGCCGUUAUUAGUGACUUCCCUUCUCAGGUAGGGUUUUAAGGGUAAUUUGGCACAUCUUGUGGAGGUGUUUUAGCUUGUUUGGGUUGGAUAGCUGUCCACUAGGGAUAGUAUGUACUUGGCAACAUAUCAUCAACUCUGAUUGGCCGAUUUUAAAUGAACCAAUUGGGUUGAGAAGUACUUGAUUUCACUAGAGAUUGUGCAGGUGACUUUGUCUGUGAUCCCCUUUCCUCAAUUUUGACUUUGAUAGCUUGUAAGGAGAUAUUUUAGAGACAAUCGAGGUGAAGACUUUGUUGUGAUGAUGUGUCCUGUUACCGUUGGCAAGGCUAUCAUUGUUUUGUGGUCUCGUAUUAACACGUGGCGGGUUACACUAUAGGAGGCAUUGUUUGUUAUCCUCGGAUUAUUUGGGUGGCUGAUGCUAGUUCUUUGAGAUCUUCCAAUUUCAUCCUCCCUUUUUAGCUUCCUAUUUAUCCUUUGUCACAAUCCCGAGUCCUAUUCAAUACCUCUAGUCUACAUUUUACCACCAAUAAUAAAUGUUUUUUAGCUUUUAAAGUUGAAAAAACAAACCACUUAAUACUUAUGUUUAGAGAUUCAUAAAAAUAUAUAUAUUAGAACGCUAAGAUUAUUAUAUAUUCACUUGAACGUGGUUUUGCUUAUAUACGGUAAAAUGUUAUGAUAUUUAUGUCCUUUGAAAUAUACAUAUAUAAAGGAUGCAAAAGUAAAAGUACAUGUGUUAGUCUGAUUUUGGUUCAGCUCAAAGCACUAUGAGAACUUCUCUGCAGAGGGUUGUUUUCUGGUAAAGAUGCAUAUUGGGAUAUAUAGAGACGAUUUUCUAAGGAUGGUGAUAGCUAAGACAAACAUGAAAUCACAAGAAACAGACGUUAGAGGCAGCGCGAUGGCUAGAGACGGCAUUCCAACCGUCAAUAUAGUAUAAGGUUGAAGAAGAUGAUGGAUUUUCCAAAAACCCUACGAGAAAAUUAAGUGUUUUGUGAAUUAGUGAACUUACUUCUUUUUUGAUUAACUUGAUUUUUUUAAAAGUAUAUUGCCCUUGAGGGCAUCUUUAUCUCCUUUUGAACAUGUGGCGAGCCGUUAUUAGUGACUUCCCUUCUCAGGUAGGGUUUUAAGGGUAAUUUGGCACAUCUUGUGGAGGUGUUUUAGCUUGUUUGGGUUGGAUAGCUGUCCACUAGGGAUAGUAUGUACUUGGCAACAUAUCAUCAACUCUGAUUGGCCGAUUUUAAAUGAACCAAUUGGGUUGAGAAGUACUUGAUUUCACUAGAGAUUGUGCAGGUGACUUUGUCUGUGAUCCCCUUUCCUCAAUUUUGACUUUGAUAGCUUGUAAGGAGAUAUUUUAGAGACAAUCGAGGUGAAGACUUUGUUGUGAUGAUGUGUCCUGUUACCGUUGGCAAGGCUAUCAUUGUUUUGUGGUCUCGUAUUAACACGUGGCGGGUUACACUAUAGGAGGCAUUGUUUGUUAUCCUCGGAUUAUUUGGGUGGCUGAUGCUAGUUCUUUGAGAUCUUCCAAUUUCAUCCUCCCUUUUUAGCUUCCUAUUUAUCCUUUGUCACAAUCCCGAGUCCUAUUCAAUACCUCUAGUCUACAUUUUACCACCAAUAAUAAAUGUUUUUUAGCUUUUAAAGUUGAAAAAACAAACCACUUAAUACUUAUGUUUAGAGAUUCAUAAAAAUAUAUAUAUUAGAACGCUAAGAUUAUUAUAUAUUCACUUGAACGUGGUUUUGCUUAUAUACGGUAAAAUGUUAUGAUAUUUAUGUCCUUUGAAAUAUACAUAUAUAAAGGAUGCAAAAGUAAAAGUACAUGUGUUAGUCUGAUUUUGGUUCAGCUCAAAGCACUAUGAGAACUUCUCUGCAGAGGGUUGUUUUCUGGUAAAGAUGCAUAUUGGGAUAUAUAGAGACGAUUUUCUAAGGAUGGUGAUAGCUAAGACAAACAUGAAAUCACAAGAAACAGACGUUAGAGGCAGCGCGAUGGCUAGAGACGGCAUUCCAACCGUCAAUAUAGUAUAAGGUUGAAGAAGAUGAUGGAUUUUCCAAAAACCCUACGAGAAAAUUAAGUGUUUUGUGAAUUAGUGAACUUACUUCUUUUUUGAUUAACUUGAUUUUUUUAAAAGUAUAUUGCCCUUGAGGGCAUCUUUAUCUCCUUUUGAACAUGUGGCGAGCCGUUAUUAGUGACUUCCCUUCUCAGGUAGGGUUUUAAGGGUAAUUUGGCACAUCUUGUGGAGGUGUUUUAGCUUGUUUGGGUUGGAUAGCUGUCCACUAGGGAUAGUAUGUACUUGGCAACAUAUCAUCAACUCUGAUUGGCCGAUUUUAAAUGAACCAAUUGGGUUGAGAAGUACUUGAUUUCACUAGAGAUUGUGCAGGUGACUUUGUCUGUGAUCCCCUUUCCUCAAUUUUGACUUUGAUAGCUUGUAAGGAGAUAUUUUAGAGACAAUCGAGGUGAAGACUUUGUUGUGAUGAUGUGUCCUGUUACCGUUGGCAAGGCUAUCAUUGUUUUGUGGUCUCGUAUUAACACGUGGCGGGUUACACUAUAGGAGGCAUUGUUUGUUAUCCUCGGAUUAUUUGGGUGGCUGAUGCUAGUUCUUUGAGAUCUUCCAAUUUCAUCCUCCCUUUUUAGCUUCCUAUUUAUCCUUUGUCACAAUCCCGAGUCCUAUUCAAUACCUCUAGUCUACAUUUUACCACCAAUAAUAAAUGUUUUUUAGCUUUUAAAGUUGAAAAAACAAACCACUUAAUACUUAUGUUUAGAGAUUCAUAAAAAUAUAUAUAUUAGAACGCUAAGAUUAUUAUAUAUUCACUUGAACGUGGUUUUGCUUAUAUACGGUAAAAUGUUAUGAUAUUUAUGUCCUUUGAAAUAUACAUAUAUAAAGGAUGCAAAAGUAAAAGUACAUGUGUUAGUCUGAUUUUGGUUCAGCUCAAAGCACUAUGAGAACUUCUCUGCAGAGGGUUGUUUUCUGGUAAAGAUGCAUAUUGGGAUAUAUAGAGACGAUUUUCUAAGGAUGGUGAUAGCUAAGACAAACAUGAAAUCACAAGAAACAGACGUUAGAGGCAGCGCGAUGGCUAGAGACGGCAUUCCAACCGUCAAUAUAGUAUAAGGUUGAAGAAGAUGAUGGAUUUUCCAAAAACCCUACGAGAAAAUUAAGUGUUUUGUGAAUUAGUGAACUUACUUCUUUUUUGAUUAACUUGAUUUUUUUAAAAGUAUAUUGCCCUUGAGGGCAUCUUUAUCUCCUUUUGAACAUGUGGCGAGCCGUUAUUAGUGACUUCCCUUCUCAGGUAGGGUUUUAAGGGUAAUUUGGCACAUCUUGUGGAGGUGUUUUAGCUUGUUUGGGUUGGAUAGCUGUCCACUAGGGAUAGUAUGUACUUGGCAACAUAUCAUCAACUCUGAUUGGCCGAUUUUAAAUGAACCAAUUGGGUUGAGAAGUACUUGAUUUCACUAGAGAUUGUGCAGGUGACUUUGUCUGUGAUCCCCUUUCCUCAAUUUUGACUUUGAUAGCUUGUAAGGAGAUAUUUUAGAGACAAUCGAGGUGAAGACUUUGUUGUGAUGAUGUGUCCUGUUACCGUUGGCAAGGCUAUCAUUGUUUUGUGGUCUCGUAUUAACACGUGGCGGGUUACACUAUAGGAGGCAUUGUUUGUUAUCCUCGGAUUAUUUGGGUGGCUGAUGCUAGUUCUUUGAGAUCUUCCAAUUUCAUCCUCCCUUUUUAGCUUCCUAUUUAUCCUUUGUCACAAUCCCGAGUCCUAUUCAAUACCUCUAGUCUACAUUUUACCACCAAUAAUAAAUGUUUUUUAGCUUUUAAAGUUGAAAAAACAAACCACUUAAUACUUAUGUUUAGAGAUUCAUAAAAAUAUAUAUAUUAGAACGCUAAGAUUAUUAUAUAUUCACUUGAACGUGGUUUUGCUUAUAUACGGUAAAAUGUUAUGAUAUUUAUGUCCUUUGAAAUAUACAUAUAUAAAGGAUGCAAAAGUAAAAGUACAUGUGUUAGUCUGAUUUUGGUUCAGCUCAAAGCACUAUGAGAACUUCUCUGCAGAGGGUUGUUUUCUGGUAAAGAUGCAUAUUGGGAUAUAUAGAGACGAUUUUCUAAGGAUGGUGAUAGCUAAGACAAACAUGAAAUCACAAGAAACAGACGUUAGAGGCAGCGCGAUGGCUAGAGACGGCAUUCCAACCGUCAAUAUAGUAUAAGGUUGAAGAAGAUGAUGGAUUUUCCAAAAACCCUACGAGAAAAUUAAGUGUUUUGUGAAUUAGUGAACUUACUUCUUUUUUGAUUAACUUGAUUUUUUUAAAAGUAUAUUGCCCUUGAGGGCAUCUUUAUCUCCUUUUGAACAUGUGGCGAGCCGUUAUUAGUGACUUCCCUUCUCAGGUAGGGUUUUAAGGGUAAUUUGGCACAUCUUGUGGAGGUGUUUUAGCUUGUUUGGGUUGGAUAGCUGUCCACUAGGGAUAGUAUGUACUUGGCAACAUAUCAUCAACUCUGAUUGGCCGAUUUUAAAUGAACCAAUUGGGUUGAGAAGUACUUGAUUUCACUAGAGAUUGUGCAGGUGACUUUGUCUGUGAUCCCCUUUCCUCAAUUUUGACUUUGAUAGCUUGUAAGGAGAUAUUUUAGAGACAAUCGAGGUGAAGACUUUGUUGUGAUGAUGUGUCCUGUUACCGUUGGCAAGGCUAUCAUUGUUUUGUGGUCUCGUAUUAACACGUGGCGGGUUACACUAUAGGAGGCAUUGUUUGUUAUCCUCGGAUUAUUUGGGUGGCUGAUGCUAGUUCUUUGAGAUCUUCCAAUUUCAUCCUCCCUUUUUAGCUUCCUAUUUAUCCUUUGUCACAAUCCCGAGUCCUAUUCAAUACCUCUAGUCUACAUUUUACCACCAAUAAUAAAUGUUUUUUAGCUUUUAAAGUUGAAAAAACAAACCACUUAAUACUUAUGUUUAGAGAUUCAUAAAAAUAUAUAUAUUAGAACGCUAAGAUUAUUAUAUAUUCACUUGAACGUGGUUUUGCUUAUAUACGGUAAAAUGUUAUGAUAUUUAUGUCCUUUGAAAUAUACAUAUAUAAAGGAUGCAAAAGUAAAAGUACAUGUGUUAGUCUGAUUUUGGUUCAGCUCAAAGCACUAUGAGAACUUCUCUGCAGAGGGUUGUUUUCUGGUAAAGAUGCAUAUUGGGAUAUAUAGAGACGAUUUUCUAAGGAUGGUGAUAGCUAAGACAAACAUGAAAUCACAAGAAACAGACGUUAGAGGCAGCGCGAUGGCUAGAGACGGCAUUCCAACCGUCAAUAUAGUAUAAGGUUGAAGAAGAUGAUGGAUUUUCCAAAAACCCUACGAGAAAAUUAAGUGUUUUGUGAAUUAGUGAACUUACUUCUUUUUUGAUUAACUUGAUUUUUUUAAAAGUAUAUUGCCCUUGAGGGCAUCUUUAUCUCCUUUUGAACAUGUGGCGAGCCGUUAUUAGUGACUUCCCUUCUCAGGUAGGGUUUUAAGGGUAAUUUGGCACAUCUUGUGGAGGUGUUUUAGCUUGUUUGGGUUGGAUAGCUGUCCACUAGGGAUAGUAUGUACUUGGCAACAUAUCAUCAACUCUGAUUGGCCGAUUUUAAAUGAACCAAUUGGGUUGAGAAGUACUUGAUUUCACUAGAGAUUGUGCAGGUGACUUUGUCUGUGAUCCCCUUUCCUCAAUUUUGACUUUGAUAGCUUGUAAGGAGAUAUUUUAGAGACAAUCGAGGUGAAGACUUUGUUGUGAUGAUGUGUCCUGUUACCGUUGGCAAGGCUAUCAUUGUUUUGUGGUCUCGUAUUAACACGUGGCGGGUUACACUAUAGGAGGCAUUGUUUGUUAUCCUCGGAUUAUUUGGGUGGCUGAUGCUAGUUCUUUGAGAUCUUCCAAUUUCAUCCUCCCUUUUUAGCUUCCUAUUUAUCCUUUGUCACAAUCCCGAGUCCUAUUCAAUACCUCUAGUCUACAUUUUACCACCAAUAAUAAAUGUUUUUUAGCUUUUAAAGUUGAAAAAACAAACCACUUAAUACUUAUGUUUAGAGAUUCAUAAAAAUAUAUAUAUUAGAACGCUAAGAUUAUUAUAUAUUCACUUGAACGUGGUUUUGCUUAUAUACGGUAAAAUGUUAUGAUAUUUAUGUCCUUUGAAAUAUACAUAUAUAAAGGAUGCAAAAGUAAAAGUACAUGUGUUAGUCUGAUUUUGGUUCAGCUCAAAGCACUAUGAGAACUUCUCUGCAGAGGGUUGUUUUCUGGUAAAGAUGCAUAUUGGGAUAUAUAGAGACGAUUUUCUAAGGAUGGUGAUAGCUAAGACAAACAUGAAAUCACAAGAAACAGACGUUAGAGGCAGCGCGAUGGCUAGAGACGGCAUUCCAACCGUCAAUAUAGUAUAAGGUUGAAGAAGAUGAUGGAUUUUCCAAAAACCCUACGAGAAAAUUAAGUGUUUUGUGAAUUAGUGAACUUACUUCUUUUUUGAUUAACUUGAUUUUUUUAAAAGUAUAUUGCCCUUGAGGGCAUCUUUAUCUCCUUUUGAACAUGUGGCGAGCCGUUAUUAGUGACUUCCCUUCUCAGGUAGGGUUUUAAGGGUAAUUUGGCACAUCUUGUGGAGGUGUUUUAGCUUGUUUGGGUUGGAUAGCUGUCCACUAGGGAUAGUAUGUACUUGGCAACAUAUCAUCAACUCUGAUUGGCCGAUUUUAAAUGAACCAAUUGGGUUGAGAAGUACUUGAUUUCACUAGAGAUUGUGCAGGUGACUUUGUCUGUGAUCCCCUUUCCUCAAUUUUGACUUUGAUAGCUUGUAAGGAGAUAUUUUAGAGACAAUCGAGGUGAAGACUUUGUUGUGAUGAUGUGUCCUGUUACCGUUGGCAAGGCUAUCAUUGUUUUGUGGUCUCGUAUUAACACGUGGCGGGUUACACUAUAGGAGGCAUUGUUUGUUAUCCUCGGAUUAUUUGGGUGGCUGAUGCUAGUUCUUUGAGAUCUUCCAAUUUCAUCCUCCCUUUUUAGCUUCCUAUUUAUCCUUUGUCACAAUCCCGAGUCCUAUUCAAUACCUCUAGUCUACAUUUUACCACCAAUAAUAAAUGUUUUUUAGCUUUUAAAGUUGAAAAAACAAACCACUUAAUACUUAUGUUUAGAGAUUCAUAAAAAUAUAUAUAUUAGAACGCUAAGAUUAUUAUAUAUUCACUUGAACGUGGUUUUGCUUAUAUACGGUAAAAUGUUAUGAUAUUUAUGUCCUUUGAAAUAUACAUAUAUAAAGGAUGCAAAAGUAAAAGUACAUGUGUUAGUCUGAUUUUGGUUCAGCUCAAAGCACUAUGAGAACUUCUCUGCAGAGGGUUGUUUUCUGGUAAAGAUGCAUAUUGGGAUAUAUAGAGACGAUUUUCUAAGGAUGGUGAUAGCUAAGACAAACAUGAAAUCACAAGAAACAGACGUUAGAGGCAGCGCGAUGGCUAGAGACGGCAUUCCAACCGUCAAUAUAGUAUAAGGUUGAAGAAGAUGAUGGAUUUUCCAAAAACCCUACGAGAAAAUUAAGUGUUUUGUGAAUUAGUGAACUUACUUCUUUUUUGAUUAACUUGAUUUUUUUAAAAGUAUAUUGCCCUUGAGGGCAUCUUUAUCUCCUUUUGAACAUGUGGCGAGCCGUUAUUAGUGACUUCCCUUCUCAGGUAGGGUUUUAAGGGUAAUUUGGCACAUCUUGUGGAGGUGUUUUAGCUUGUUUGGGUUGGAUAGCUGUCCACUAGGGAUAGUAUGUACUUGGCAACAUAUCAUCAACUCUGAUUGGCCGAUUUUAAAUGAACCAAUUGGGUUGAGAAGUACUUGAUUUCACUAGAGAUUGUGCAGGUGACUUUGUCUGUGAUCCCCUUUCCUCAAUUUUGACUUUGAUAGCUUGUAAGGAGAUAUUUUAGAGACAAUCGAGGUGAAGACUUUGUUGUGAUGAUGUGUCCUGUUACCGUUGGCAAGGCUAUCAUUGUUUUGUGGUCUCGUAUUAACACGUGGCGGGUUACACUAUAGGAGGCAUUGUUUGUUAUCCUCGGAUUAUUUGGGUGGCUGAUGCUAGUUCUUUGAGAUCUUCCAAUUUCAUCCUCCCUUUUUAGCUUCCUAUUUAUCCUUUGUCACAAUCCCGAGUCCUAUUCAAUACCUCUAGUCUACAUUUUACCACCAAUAAUAAAUGUUUUUUAGCUUUUAAAGUUGAAAAAACAAACCACUUAAUACUUAUGUUUAGAGAUUCAUAAAAAUAUAUAUAUUAGAACGCUAAGAUUAUUAUAUAUUCACUUGAACGUGGUUUUGCUUAUAUACGGUAAAAUGUUAUGAUAUUUAUGUCCUUUGAAAUAUACAUAUAUAAAGGAUGCAAAAGUAAAAGUACAUGUGUUAGUCUGAUUUUGGUUCAGCUCAAAGCACUAUGAGAACUUCUCUGCAGAGGGUUGUUUUCUGGUAAAGAUGCAUAUUGGGAUAUAUAGAGACGAUUUUCUAAGGAUGGUGAUAGCUAAGACAAACAUGAAAUCACAAGAAACAGACGUUAGAGGCAGCGCGAUGGCUAGAGACGGCAUUCCAACCGUCAAUAUAGUAUAAGGUUGAAGAAGAUGAUGGAUUUUCCAAAAACCCUACGAGAAAAUUAAGUGUUUUGUGAAUUAGUGAACUUACUUCUUUUGUGAUUAACCUGAUUUUUUAAAAGUAUAUUGCCCUUGAGGGCAUCUUUAUCUCCUUUUGAACAUGUGGCGAGCCGUUAUUAGUGACUUCCCUUCUCAGGUAGGGUUUUAAGGGUAAUUUGGCACAUCUUGUGGAGGUGUUUUAGCUUGUUUGGGUUGGAUAGCUGUCCACUAGGGAUAGUAUGUACUUGGCAACAUAUCAUCAACUCUGAUUGGCCGAUUUUAAAUGAACCAAUUGGGUUGAGAAGUACUUGAUUUCACUAGAGAUUGUGCAGGUGACUUUGUCUGUGAUCCCCUUUCCUCAAUUUUGACUUUGAUAGCUUGUAAGGAGAUAUUUUAGAGACAAUCGAGGUGAAGACUUUGUUGUGAUGAUGUGUCCUGUUACCGUUGGCAAGGCUAUCAUUGUUUUGUGGUCUCGUAUUAACACGUGGCGGGUUACACUAUAGGAGGCAUUGUUUGUUAUCCUCGGAUUAUUUGGGUGGCUGAUGCUAGUUCUUUGAGAUCUUCCAAUUUCAUCCUCCCUUUUUAGCUUCCUAUUUAUCCUUUGUCACAAUCCCGAGUCCUAUUCAAUACCUCUAGUCUACAUUUUACCACCAAUAAUAAAUGUUUUUUAGCUUUUAAAGUUGAAAAAACAAACCACUUAAUACUUAUGUUUAGAGAUUCAUAAAAAUAUAUAUAUUAGAACGCUAAGAUUAUUAUAUAUUCACUUGAACGUGGUUUUGCUUAUAUACGGUAAAAUGUUAUGAUAUUUAUGUCCUUUGAAAUAUACAUAUAUAAAGGAUGCAAAAGUAAAAGUACAUGUGUUAGUCUGAUUUUGGUUCAGCUCAAAGCACUAUGAGAACUUCUCUGCAGAGGGUUGUUUUCUGGUAAAGAUGCAUAUUGGGAUAUAUAGAGACGAUUUUCUAAGGAUGGUGAUAGCUAAGACAAACAUGAAAUCACAAGAAACAGACGUUAGAGGCAGCGCGAUGGCUAGAGACGGCAUUCCAACCGUCAAUAUAGUAUAAGGUUGAAGAAGAUGAUGGAUUUUCCAAAAACCCUACGAGAAAAUUAAGUGUUUUGUGAAUUAGUGAACUUACUUCUUUUGUGAUUAACCUGAUUUUUUAAAAGUAUAUUGCCCUUGAGGGCAUCUUUAUCUCCUUUUGAACAUGUGGCGAGCCGUUAUUAGUGACUUCCCUUCUCAGGUAGGGUUUUAAGGGUAAUUUGGCACAUCUUGUGGAGGUGUUUUAGCUUGUUUGGGUUGGAUAGCUGUCCACUAGGGAUAGUAUGUACUUGGCAACAUAUCAUCAACUCUGAUUGGCCGAUUUUAAAUGAACCAAUUGGGUUGAGAAGUACUUGAUUUCACUAGAGAUUGUGCAGGUGACUUUGUCUGUGAUCCCCUUUCCUCAAUUUUGACUUUGAUAGCUUGUAAGGAGAUAUUUUAGAGACAAUCGAGGUGAAGACUUUGUUGUGAUGAUGUGUCCUGUUACCGUUGGCAAGGCUAUCAUUGUUUUGUGGUCUCGUAUUAACACGUGGCGGGUUACACUAUAGGAGGCAUUGUUUGUUAUCCUCGGAUUAUUUGGGUGGCUGAUGCUAGUUCUUUGAGAUCUUCCAAUUUCAUCCUCCCUUUUUAGCUUCCUAUUUAUCCUUUGUCACAAUCCCGAGUCCUAUUCAAUACCUCUAGUCUACAUUUUACCACCAAUAAUAAAUGUUUUUUAGCUUUUAAAGUUGAAAAAACAAACCACUUAAUACUUAUGUUUAGAGAUUCAUAAAAAUAUAUAUAUUAGAACGCUAAGAUUAUUAUAUAUUCACUUGAACGUGGUUUUGCUUAUAUACGGUAAAAUGUUAUGAUAUUUAUGUCCUUUGAAAUAUACAUAUAUAAAGGAUGCAAAAGUAAAAGUACAUGUGUUAGUCUGAUUUUGGUUCAGCUCAAAGCACUAUGAGAACUUCUCUGCAGAGGGUUGUUUUCUGGUAAAGAUGCAUAUUGGGAUAUAUAGAGACGAUUUUCUAAGGAUGGUGAUAGCUAAGACAAACAUGAAAUCACAAGAAACAGACGUUAGAGGCAGCGCGAUGGCUAGAGACGGCAUUCCAACCGUCAAUAUAGUAUAAGGUUGAAGAAGAUGAUGGAUUUUCCAAAAACCCUACGAGAAAAUUAAGUGUUUUGUGAAUUAGUGAACUUACUUCUUUUGUGAUUAACCUGAUUUUUUAAAAGUAUAUUGCCCUUGAGGGCAUCUUUAUCUCCUUUUGAACAUGUGGCGAGCCGUUAUUAGUGACUUCCCUUCUCAGGUAGGGUUUUAAGGGUAAUUUGGCACAUCUUGUGGAGGUGUUUUAGCUUGUUUGGGUUGGAUAGCUGUCCACUAGGGAUAGUAUGUACUUGGCAACAUAUCAUCAACUCUGAUUGGCCGAUUUUAAAUGAACCAAUUGGGUUGAGAAGUACUUGAUUUCACUAGAGAUUGUGCAGGUGACUUUGUCUGUGAUCCCCUUUCCUCAAUUUUGACUUUGAUAGCUUGUAAGGAGAUAUUUUAGAGACAAUCGAGGUGAAGACUUUGUUGUGAUGAUGUGUCCUGUUACCGUUGGCAAGGCUAUCAUUGUUUUGUGGUCUCGUAUUAACACGUGGCGGGUUACACUAUAGGAGGCAUUGUUUGUUAUCCUCGGAUUAUUUGGGUGGCUGAUGCUAGUUCUUUGAGAUCUUCCAAUUUCAUCCUCCCUUUUUAGCUUCCUAUUUAUCCUUUGUCACAAUCCCGAGUCCUAUUCAAUACCUCUAGUCUACAUUUUACCACCAAUAAUAAAUGUUUUUUAGCUUUUAAAGUUGAAAAAACAAAUCACUUAAUACUUAUGUUUAGAGAUUCACAAAAUAUAUAUAUAUAUAUAUUAUUCAAAAUCCAACAUUCAAGUUAAUUCAAAUUUCAAACUAAUUUAGAUUUAUUCAGAUUUCAUAUUAAAAUAAAAAAACAAACAGCAUCUAAUUUGGAUUUGUUCAGAUUUCAGAUAAAAAAAUAAAUACCGCUUUAGAGUAAUUUUGGCAUUAAAUUGAAUUAGAAAAUCAUGUAUAUUUUAUUUAUUGUGGCAAAUUAUUUUUUUUUCAUACACUAAUAUAUGUAUUAAAAUUAAAAAUUUAUUGAAAUUAUCUUUGAUAAGUCUAUUUUAUUAUAAUUUAAAAAUCUAUUCUUACAUAAUACCAAAAGAAUAUCUCCUCUAGUUACAUUUAGUGGGAUUUGAAACAUAUUCCUAUCCAAUUCAAUUGAAGAAGGAAAAUGAGAAGCUGAGACUCAACCCAUGCUCUAAAAUUUUCUAAAAUUUGUGAGUGCAUUAGCCCAUUAGGAAUUAAUUCCUUUUGAAAGGAAUUUGAAUCUAUGGCAAAUAGAUGUAGGCAAUUAAAAAUCUAAAAUUAGCAACUUAAUUAAUUCUCAAAAAUAUUGUUCACUGAUAUUGUUCACGAUUAUCGUUCAUGGUUACUAUUUACAGUUACUGUUCAUCCACAUCAAAAAUAUUAAUUUUUCAAGAAACAAUAAAUUGCAGAAAAUAAAGACACAAUGAUUUUUAUAUACCUCUCUUUAUAUAGACACUAAGGUUUCACAAAAAUAGUAAGUCUUUAAAGACUUUGAUUCUUUACAAAUAAGAGUUUCUUUCCUCUUAUAAUUCCUAUGAAUCUGAAUAGGAAUAAAUAUGAUUUCUUGUCUUACUUGUCUCCCAAGAAAUAUCUGGAGCAUUUAAUGAACUUCCUGUUUGAACCAGUUUCUAGCUCUAAAUAGAUCUCACGCGUCAAUUAUAGAAUCUCAUCAUUAAUUGACUUACUAAAUUAGACAUCUAAUUAAAUUAGGAAACAAAUAUUUCAAAUAAAUUGGAAUCUCACUAAAUUAGGGAAUUAAUAAAUUAAUCCCUAUUACAAGAUAUGCAAUAAAUAAAAUUCUAAUUUAACUAGACUUGCCAUAAGUUGCCAACUCUAUAAAUAAUGGACUGAACAGUAAUUAUAAAUUAAUAUUAUUAUUAUAAUAAAUAAUGACAAUAAUUAACUAAGGGCGGCUUAAUAUAACAAUCUAUUCUCAUUUCAAGAUAAAGUAAACAUAUCAAUAGCAAUACGGUUCAUUCCAAUUUCGAUUCCCACAAGUAAAAUAAACAAUUUAUUUUUAUUCUCAUUUUUCAUUUUAAUUUUAACCUGUUCCAAUUACUAAUUAGUAAACACACCAUUAGAACAUUAAUUGUAAAAUGGAAACUUUCCAGCUCCAUGUGAAGCUCCUCUUUUGUUUUACACAUCAGUUUCUAACACACUGUGAGAACAUAUAUUUGUGAUGGCUUGGCUGCAGAGGUCGCUCAACUUGCAAUGUUUGGCUCAUGUUAUAUUAAUCAACUUGCUGCAAUGUUAUAGUUACAUUUCAAAAUCUUAAAUAAUUGUUAUUCUCAAUAUUUUAUCAAGAUUUGCAGGUAGAUUUUGUGAUUCUUUUGUUUUCAAGUAGGUGUGCUAAUUUCAUGAUUAUCUAGUUUCAAAUCGUAAUAUGAAAAAUGUGAAUAAUCUUCUGGUCUACAGUUGGAGAAGCACUUAUGUGGAUGGCCCUACCAAUCACAACUUGCCAUACGGGCAGGUCUGCUGGGUCCCACUCUGAAUCUAAUGAUUUUUUUUAUUUUUAAUAUUAAGGUUGGUGAUUUCAAUUCAAGGAACCACCUGACCUACCCAAACGAUUGGCUUAGGUAUAAACUCACUUAUAGUGAGAUGGUGAGCUCGAUCCAUGUAAGUUUCUUUCUUACAGUUAAUGAUCUGAUUGGCACCUAUCAAAAACACCUCGAAACUUAGGUCAGUGUUUGAUUUAUUAAAAAAAAAUUAGGGAAAUAGAAUAAAAGAUAUAUUUGAGCAAUUUUCGAAAAGAGUUAGAUGUCAGUUUGGAAAAGAUGUGAGUAUUUCGUUGAAGCUCAUGGAUUGCACUUUGUGCCUCUCUUUCAUACGACGAAGAAUCUUUAAGAGAGAGAAGUCUGCAAUGGAUAAUGUUAGGAAUUUUAAGUUCUCACCUAUGAUUUUUUCAAAGAAUAUAUUAAACAAGUCGUAAACUAAAUAAAAUAAAGCUGUAGAACAACGCUAGUCACACAUCUCAAAUUUUACGUGACAACUUCUCUAUUAGAGAAGAAAAAUACAACAGCCAACGAUGACCCGAUAAAAUUUAUACAUAUGAAAAAUUGUUACUGACCGUUUAUAUAUUUUACGUAUGCUUUAAAAUCAAAAUAUUUCACCAUAAAAUAAUAUUAAACAAUCUCAAAAAUACUUUCUUUAAGUAUUUACAUUGAACCACUCCAUGUUUUGUGUGUAGGGGUGGCAAAACCCAGGGUUGGGCCCGGGUGUGGCAAUAUCCGGAUUCGGUUUGGACAUUUUUUUAGAUGCUUAGACCAGGCUUUUUUAUUAGGGUUAAAAAGCCUGGAUUUUUAAUUUUUUAUAGUAUUAUUUAUGCAUAUUUUUUAAUUUUAUUUUUUAAUUUUUUAAUUUUAAAUUUUAUUUUAAUGAAAGUGGGCAUAAAAAAAUAAAUUAUAAAUGUUUAAAAUUUUAAAUAUGUGUAAUAAAUGGAUCCAAUAAAUAUAAUAAUUUAAAAUAAUAUAUUUUAUAAUAUUUUUUUUACAAAAUUCGGGUUCUAAACUAGACCCUAAACUUAUCAAGCGAAGCCCGAAACUUAUCCAACUUCAUCCCCGAACAGGGUACUACGCGGUUCACAUCACCCGUUCUAAUCCAAAUCCGGCCGAACAGAGAUUUUUGACAUCCCUAUUUAUACUUAGCUUCGUUUGCCAAUUUCAUAUAACAAAGCUGACAUUUUGACAAUAACAUUUCCAUGUAUCCUCUGCCAAGUUUGCUUUCAUGGCUGAACAAUUCAUAGACUCUGGUGCUCACAAAAUCAUUCAAUGCGAAGGAAACUUCAGUUAUUUCACAAAAUCAUUUUGUGAACAGAAUGUGUUUUUGUGGCUAAAACAAGCAUCUACUAAUGAAAAACAAGCUUUGGCCUAAAAAAAUCAUUAGUCGCGAAAUUUUUUCGUUGCCUAUAAUUUGUGUAGGUAAACAUCAUUUCAUUAGUCGUGAAACAUUGUGUAGGUAAACAAAACGUUUUUCAUAACAAUGUUUCUUCGCUUAUAUAAUUAAAAAAAAAAAUCGUAACAAAAAACAUCAUUUCCUUGGUUAUUCAAAGUUCUACACAUUAUUUGCUUAUGUUAAGGAAGCUCAUAUGUGUAGAAUGGUCAGUGAAGCAGAGGAUUGUAACACCUGCAGCUUACAGAUACAAGUUGAUGACAUGGCUUGCCAGCUAGAGCUUGGUGGUUUUGUAAUCUCUUGCACACGUGAAGAUUCGUAAAAUCUGUUACAGCAUUCCUUGUGCUCGUUAGUUAGUUAGAUAGUUAUAAUCAACUGAUUAGCUAUUGUAAUUAGUUGUAGAGUUAGUUAAAUCACUACUCAUGUAUAUAAAUGGAAUAAUGUACAGAUUCGUAGAAGUUAUGAUUUGUGAUAAUAAAAACAAAAGAAAGUUUUAGAACUCUUAUAUUUUCUCUUAAGUUUCUCUGCUUCCAAACAUUAUUGAUUUUUUACUUGGUAUCAGAGCCAAUAAUGGCGUCAGCUAAUCUUGCUUCUUCUUCCUCACACCAAACUCAAAAUCCUGCUGCAAAUUCAACUACUGUUUCUUUUACCUUUAAUACACCAGUCAAGCUUGAUCAAUCCAAUUAUCUCAUAUGGCAAUCUCAAGUUCUAGCCUCAAUUCGUGGAAAUAGGCUCGAAAAGUUUAUUGAUGGUUCAGUCACUCCACCUUCAUCUCAUAUAUCUCAAAGAGUUGAUGAUGAACUCAGAUAUAUGGAAAAUCCAGAAUUCAUAACAUAGAGAUCUCAAGACCAGGUGCUGCUUGGAUGGCUGCUCUCUUCAAUGAGUGAAGGAAUCAUUAGUCUAGUGUUCAACCUGGAAACAUCACUUGAAGUGUGGAAAGCUAUUGAGGUACAAUUUGGCUCACAAUCUAAAUCUAGACUUUUACAUUUGAGAUACAUAAUGAAUUUAAUAAGGAAAGAUGAUAUGAAGAUCACAGAUUAUUUCAUUAAGAUGAAAAACAUAGCUGACAAUAUGGCUGCAGCUGGAAGUGAUUUGAGUAGUGAUGACUUGAUUUUGCAUGUAUUAUCUGGACUAGGACCAGAUUAUAAUUCAGUAGCUACUUACAUUACUGGUCAAGUAGGAGUUGGAAAAAUGAAUGUGAAUGAGGCAUAUGCUAUGCUCUUAACUCAAGAGGCUAGGAUUGAACAACAGUCACAAAUGCUUGCUGGUGUGGAUAUGAAGAACAAUUUUGAGGCAAAUUAUGCUCAAAACAGAGGAGCUAAGAAGAAUAACAUGUCAGGUGGAAGAGGUUUUGGUGGUUAUGGUUAUGGUCAUAAUUCUGGAAUUGGAAAUGGUGGUUAUUACAAAGGAAAUUUUGGCACUGACUCUGCUGGUGCUGGUACUGGUUUUAAUACUCAAUUUAAAGGCUAUUAAUCAGGCAAUCAAAGAGGAGGAGGAGGAGGUAACUGGAAUAAUAACAUUGGAGUUGGCAACUUUAACAAUGGCAAAUCACCUAUGAAUCAUAAACCUUAGUGGAAUACUUCACUAAGGUUGUACAAACCUUAGUGGAAUAAUUCAUUGCUUCAGGUGCUUACAGACCACCUCCAAAUAGAGGACCAAAGGCUGCUUACUUAGCCAACAUGGAUGCUCCAGCUGAUACAAAUUGGUAUCUUGACAGUGGUGCUACUCACCACCUCACUAAUGAUAUGAGCAAUAUGCAUAUGGCUGAACCUUUUGCAGGUACUUCUAAACUUGUCAUUGGAAAUGGUGUUGGUUUAUGCAUAACACAUACAGGCUGUGCUGUUUUGAGAAUGCAAAGUUCUGUAAAUAAUUUUGAACUUAAACUGAACAACAUUCUUCUUGUGCCUAAAAUAAUCAAAAACUUGAUUAGUAUAUCCAAACUAACUAGAGAUAAUGAUGUUGUGAUAGAAUUUACUAAUGAUUUCUGUUUUGUUAAGGACAAGGUGAGGAAUUUGAUCAUGCUGUAGGGCAAAGCUGAAAAAGGAUUGUACAGAUUGCUAUUAGUCUCAGCAAACAAACCUUCUCCUUAUUUGUCAAACCUUGCUCAUGUCCAGUCAGCUGUCUCAACUCAACCCAUUUCAAUGUUUUCUGUUGUUAAUUCUAAAUGUCAGAAUAAAACUGCUUCUCAAUUACAUACUGAAGCAUAGUGUAGUCAAAACUCUGAUUGUAUGUUGAGUACUAUGAUUUUACAUAAAAAAUUAGGUCAUCAUAAUGCUAGAGUGUUGAGUCAUGUAAUCAAUUCUUGUCCAUAUUUUAAAACCAUCAAUGGAAAUAAAGUCUUUGAUUCUUGUGAUGCUUGUAAGUUGGGAAAAAUGCACAAACUUCACUUUCUAGUAACUGAAACCAAAACCAGAACUGCACUUGAAAUUCUACAUACAGAUCUAUGGGGCCCUGCUCCUACACUCUCUAUACAAGGAUAUAGAUAUUACAUCAGCUUUGUUGAUGAUUUCACAAGAUUCACCUGGAUUUUUCCUUUAAAAACCAAAUCUGAAGCCUUUCAAGUAUUCAAAGUUUUUAAAGCUCAAGUAGAGAAACAAUUAGAUAAAUCAAUAAAGUGUCUUCAAUCUGAUUGGGGUGGUGAGUAUAGGUCAUUUGUUCACUUUCUUCAGAAAGAAGGGAUUCAGUUUAGACAUUCAUGUCCAUAUACUCACAAUCAAAAUGGCCUUGUGGAAAGAAAACAUAGACAUAUUACUGAGUUGGGUUUAACCUUGCUUGCACAGGCCAAGUUAUCUAUAAAAUUUUGGUGGGAUUCAUUUCAUACAGCUACUUAUAUGAUAAAUAGACUUCCAACCCCUGUUCUUUCCUUGAAAACCCCUUAUGAAUAUCUUUUCCAUCUAAAACCAUAUUAUCCAUUUCUCAAAACCUUUGGUUGUGCUUGUUUUCCCUUCCUAAGAGAUUACAAUCAUCACAUGUUUCAUUUUCAUACUUCUAAGUGUGUUUUCUUAGGAUACAACCUUUUACACAAAGGCUACAAAUGUCUCCAUUCAUCAGGGAAAGUUUACAUAGCAAGUCAUGUUCUCUUUGAUGAAACUUCUUUUCCAUAUUCUACUGAUCCCACCUUCUUGCAAUCUAUGCCAUCAAAGUCCUCUGACUUUCUUUACAAUUCCUUACAAAUCUAUCAUAUCUCAGUUCCUAAUAGUAAUCAAAAUCCUUUAGAAGUUGCUCCUGCAGAUACAUAUUCUCAUGCCUCAAGUUCUACUCACAACAUCAUCUCACUUCCUCUUACUACAUCAUCAGUUCAUUCUACAUCACUUCAUUCACCAAAUAAUACUAUACCAGUUGCAACCUCAAACACCAACCUAGCUGCAACCUCAAACACUACACCUUCACCUACAAUCAAUCAAACUUCUCCAGAUAUGCCAUUAUCAACUUCUAGAUCACUUCCCUCACCUCCAAAAUCCAUCAUAUCCACUCAUCCUAUGAUUACCAGAGCUAAAGCUGGUAUAUUCAAACCAAAGGCAUUCUUGACAGCUCAUAACAGCUUAGAACCUUCCAAUGUUGAUGAAGCUUUGUCUGAUUCUAAAUGGAAGGCAGCAAUGCAAGAUGAAUUUGAUGCUCUCAUUAGAAACAAGACCUGGAGCCUAGUACAAAUGAAUCCAGAAUACAAGUUAGUAGGCUGCAAGUGGGUUUUUAGAACCAAAUAUAAUACUGAUGGUUUAGUUUCUAAGUACAAAGCUCGUUUGGUUGCAAAAGGGUUUCAUCAAACAACUGGAAUCGAUUAUUCAAAAACCUUUAGUCCUGUAGUGAAGUCUUACACUGUCAGAGUUAUUCUUAGCUUGGCAGUCAUGCAAGGCUGGAAUGUUAGGCAAGUUGAUGUCAAUAACGCAUUUCUUAAUGGGGAUCUCAUUGAGGAUGUGUACAUGAAACAACCAGAAGGCUUUGUUUCAGAGGGAGGAUAUGUCUGUAAACUAAACAAAGCUCUUUAUGGCUUAAAACAAGCUCCAAGGGCCUAGUAUGAUAAGCUUAAGGGAUGCCUUACAAGUUGGAAUUUCACUAAUUCUAAGGCUGAUACUUCUCUGUUUUUCAGGCAUGAUGUCAAAGGCAUAAUCCUUGUCUUAAUAUAUGUGGAUGGCAUUUUGAUCACUGGACCAGAUUCAGAUCUGCUGGAAUCCUUUAUUGCUAAGCUUAGCAAGGUUUUUGCAUUAAAGGAUUUGGGUUUAGUAACAUAUUUCCUUGGUGUAGAAGCCUGCUAUACAGAUCAUGGAAUGCAUCUCUCUCAAACUAAAUACAUCAAGGAUCUGUUGUCUAAAGCCUCAAUGCAAAACUGUAAAGAAACUGGCACUCCUUUCAGCACAGGCUACAAGUUGGAAAGAUCAGCAAAGGGCUCAUUGGGUGCAGAAUUUGAGAAUGCAACUCUUUAUAGAAGUAUUGUUGGAGGGUUGCAAUACUUAAUUCUAACCAGAACAGACAUUGCAUAUUCAGUUCACAAGCUGAGUCAGUACCUAAGUGCUCCUACACUUCAACAUUGGUUAGCUUGCAAAAAGGUGCUCAGAUACCUUCAAGCAACUGUCACAUAUGGUCUCUACAUUCAGUAGAAGGGAACUUUGGAGACUAUAUGAUUGACAGGAUAUUCAGAUGCUGAUUGGGCUUGUGACAUUGAUGAUAGAAAAUCUAUUGGAGCUUAUUGCAUCUUCCUUGGCAAUAAUUUGGUUUCCUGGUCUUCUAAAAAGCAAGCCAUUGUAGCAAAAUCUAGUUCUGAAAGUGAGUACAGAGCUUUGUCAGCAGCUAGCUCAGAAAUCUCUUGGCUGCAAUCUUUAUUUUCUGAGCUUAACAUCACAAAAUUACCAACUCCUAUUCUAUGGUGUGAUAACCUAAGUGCUGGAGAUCUAGCUAGAAAUCCGGUUUUUCAUUCAAGAUCAAAACACAUAGAGCUAGAUGUUCAUUAUAUUAGAGACAAUGUUCUUAACAAAGAAUUAGAAGUGAGGUAUAUCCCCACUGAAGAGCAAGUUGCAGAUGUCCUUACUAAGCCCCUGUCAUUUUCUAAGUAUAGUUAUUUUCAGUCCAAGCUCAAUGUGAUUAGCAGACCCUUGAGCUUGAGAGGGGAUGUUAAGGAAGCUCAUAUGUGUAGAAUGGUCAGUGAAGCAGAGGAUUGUAACACUUGCAGCUUACAGAUACAAGUUGAUGACAUGGCUUGCCAGCUGGAGCCUAGUGGUUUUGUAAUCUCUUGCACACGUGAAGAUUAGUAAAAUCUGUUACAGCAUUCCUUGUGCUCGUUAGUUAGUUAGAUAGUUAUAAUCAGCUGAUUAGCUAUUGUAAUUAGUUGUAGAGUUAGUUAAAUCACUACUCAUGUAUAUAAAUGGAAUAAUGUACAGAUUCGUAGAAGUUAUGAUUUGUGAUAAUAAAAACAAAAGAAAGUUUUAGAACUCUUAUAUUUUCUCUUAAGUUUCUCUGCUUCCAAACAUUAUUGAUUUUCUACUGCUUACAAUAUCGAUUCACUCAAAAAAGUGGAUUUAGGUUAUCAAUUGGAUAGUUGCUAAUAAAUAAUAAGAACAAUAGAUAAACAACAACGAUGAAUACAUAGCAACAACAAAGUGCUUUAUUAGCUACAACUAAACGCACUCCACCGGCACAAAAAACUAUGGUAUGGGACUAAAUGGCAAUGGGGACAGCACGAAGGGGUUUAGCCUUCUGUAUGGUGAGGCCAAAUUUCUCUUUCAUGUCCAUGCUCUCAUCUUCAAGCUUCCAAUCAAAAGAAUUAAUAAGUGAACCCAACAUUAGAUAUAACAUUCUGAUUGCCAAUGGCAAACCAGGACAAAUUCGCCGCCCAGCUCCGAAGGGAAUUAGUUCAAAAUUCUGGCCUUUGAAAUCAACAUCUGACCCCAAGAAUCUUUCAGGCUUAAAAGAGUGAGGGUUGUCCCAUAUGUUUUCAUCUCUGCCAAUAGCCCAUACAUUGACAAAAACUUGUGCACCUUUUGGCACCGUGACGCUUGCAAUUUCAACGCCUUCUGAAGCUUUACGGGGGAUUAAUAAGGGAACAGCCGGGUGCAACCUAAAAGUUUCUUUCACAACUGCUUGUAGAUAAGGCAACCGAGCGAUGUCAGAUUCGUCAAUUGGGUUGCCUUUGCCAACAGUUUGUUUUAGCUCCAAUUUUGCUUUCGAUAAAACCUUAGGGUUGUGGAGUAAUUCUGCCAUUGCCCAUUCCAUUGUAAUUGAAGUUGUGUCAUUCCCCGCAAUAAACAAAUCCUGUUAUAUGAAUUCUGUUAAUUAACUCGUAAUUUUGUACGAGAAAUUAAUAAAAAGAAAUAGAAAUAUUACCGCAAGCAAGUGCUUGAUAUGUUUUGUGUCAAACUCUACACUCUUUUCUUGGAUAAUAUUGAGAAGAGUAUCUAAAGUAUCUUUAGAUUCGGUGCUAAUACUACAACCAUGUUCUUGUCUUUGCUUCAAUCGUUGAUCAAUCAAGCGAUCCAACACUUCGAACAUCUUACCAGAAUAAAGUGUAUUGCGGCGCCUUAUGCCCUGCAGGUCAAGCAUUUUUAGUAGAGGAAAAUGGUCGGACAAGUUAGGCUUUCCUGCUUCUUCCAUGAUACCCCAAACUGUUUCCUUAAACUCUCGCUCAUUGGGAUCAACCAAAUCCAUAGAAAAAAUUGUGUUGGAUAACAAAUUAAGUGAAGUAUUAAAAGCAGCUUGGCCAAAAUCUAAUGCUUUACCCGCACUGCAAUUUUCUUCAACAUAAGCAAGAAGGUCUUUGAUUUUCUUGCGUCGGAGGUCUUGAUUGGCAUCGAGUUUCUGAUUAGUGAAAAUAUGCAUGUUGCAUAUUUUUCGAAGACUUCUCCACAGUGGUGAGACUGGCAGCCAGACCAAACUGAAUUCAUGGUGCUGGUAUGGCUGGGACAAGAUUGAUUCAGGGACCUUUCGAUCACAGAAUAAUGAAUCAUGUUCUUUAAGGAUAGUUUUCGCCAUGCUUGGAGAAGAAACUACUACUGUGGUCACCUGGCCAAGUCUUAGACUCAUUAUGGGGCCAUGAAUCUUCGCCAGCUUGGCCAGUGACUUGUGAGGUUUACCACCCAGUUCCAGGAGGUUUCCGAUCACCGGAUAAGGCCUCGGUCCUGGUGGAAGCCCUUUGGGUUUUCCACUGGAAAUGAAACUUAAAGUCAUCACCCAAACCAAUGUGAACACGAGCCACAGUAUGCAGCUGAUUAACAAAUCCAUCUUUGAAUUGAAGUUUG